rnacentral:rRNA from 1 species
UACGUAGGGGGCAAGCGUUAUCCGGAUUUACUGGGCUUAAAGAGCGCGUAGGCGGGCCGGCGCGUCGGAUGCUGAAAUCCCCCGGCUCAACCGGGGAAGUGGCGCCGAUACGGCCGGCCUGGAGGGGCGUAGGGGGACCUGGAACUCCCGGUGGAGCGGUGAAAUGCGUUGAGAUCGGGAGGAACGCCCGUGGCGAAAGCGAGGUCCUGGACGCCUUCUGACGCUGAGGCGCGAAAGCCAGGGGAGCGAACGGG